rnacentral:rRNA from 1 species
AAAGGUAGAAAAAGGGGUGGAAAUGAUGAAGGGGAAUAAAGAGAACGAAGAAGGUUUGAUAAGUCUCUGGUGAAAUCCCGCAGCUUAACUGUGGGACUUGCUGGAGAUACUAUCAGACUUGAGGUCGGGAGAGGUUAGGGGUACUCCCAGGGUAGGGGUGAAAUCCUAUAAUCCUGGGAGGACCACCUGUGGCGAAGGCGCCUAACUGGAACGAACCUGACGGUGAGUAACGAAAGCCAGGGGCGCGAACCG